UGGGGAAUAUUGGACAAUGGGGGCAACCCUGAUCCAGCCAUGCCGCGUGAGUGAUGAAGGCCUUCGGGUUGUAAAGCUCUUUUGGCGGGGACGAUGAUGACGGUACCCGCAGAAUAAGCCCCGGCUAACUUCGUGCCAGCAGCCGGGGUAAUACGUAGGGUGCGAGCGUUACUCGGAAUUACUGGGCGUAAAGCGUGCGUAGGUGGUUGUUUAAGUCUGAUGUGAUAGCCCUGGGCUCAACCUGGGAAUGGCAUUGGAAACUGGGCAGCUAGAGUGCGGUAGAGGGUAGUGGAAUUCCCGGUGUAGCAGUGAAAUGCGUAGAGAUCGGGAGGAACAUCUGUGGCGAAGGCGACUGCCUGGACCAGCACUGACACUGAGGCACGAAAGCGUGGGGAGCAAACA
rnacentral:rRNA from 1 species